rnacentral:rRNA from 1 species
UGGCUGCGUGCUUAACACAUGCAAGUCGAACGCUGAAGCCUGGUGCUUGCACCGGGUGGAUGAGUGGCGAACGGGUGAGUAACACGUGAGUAACCUGCCCCCGAUUUCGGGAUAAGCCCGGGAAACUGGGUCUAAUACCGGAUAUGACCAGAGGACGCAUGUUCUGUGGUGGAAAGUUUUUCGAUCGGGGAUGGGCUCGCGGCCUAUCAGCUUGUUGGUGGGGUAAUGGCCUACCAAGGCGACGACGGGUAGCCGGCCUGAGAGGGCGACCGGCCACACUGGGACUGAGACACGGCCCAGACUCCUACGGGAGGCAGCAGUGGGGAAUAUUGCACAAUGGGGGAAACCCUGAUGCAGCGACGCAGCGUGCGGGAUGACGGCCUUCGGGUUGUAAACCGCUUUCAGCAGGGAAGAAGCGAAAGUGACGGUACCUGCAGAAGAAGUACCGGCUAACUACGUGCCAGCAGCCGCGGUAAUACGUAGGGUACGAGCGUUGUCCGGAAUUAUUGGGCGUAAAGAGCUCGUAGGUGGUUGGUCACGUCUGCUGUGGAAACGCAACGCUUAACGUUGCGCGGGCAGUGGGUACGGGCUGACUAGAGUGCAGUAGGGGAGUCUGGAAUUCCUGGUGUAGCGGUGAAAUGCGCAGAUAUCAGGAGGAACACCGGUGGCGAAGGCGGGACUCUGGGCUGUAACUGACACUGAGGAGCGAAAGCAUGGGGAGCGAACAGGAUUAGAUACCCUGGUAGUCCAUGCCGUAAACGUUGGGCACUAGGUGUGGGGGACAUUCCACGUUCUCCGCGCCGUAGCUAACGCA